GGAAAAAUUUUAUGGGAGCCAGCUGCCAUCUGGCUAUAGAUAAGCAGCAUGAGACUGCCCAGAAGGUGCUAAGGGUUUCAGGAAAUGAACUCCCAUCCUGUUCUCGGAAAAGCCACAAAAGAACAUCUGCUGUUUACUCAGAAUAACUCCCCUGCCCUUAAUCUAAACUUCCUCAUUCUUGUAUCUCCCCACCAAUCCCCCACCAAUGAUUGUAAAGGUCAGUUUAAACUAACCAAUGCUAUCUGCUUCUGUGGUUUCGCUUGCAAAUACCCGCCUUCUGUGGUUUUUUGGUUUAAAAGUCCAGCUGGACUCUGGCUCGGGGCUCUCUGUUCCUGCGCGUUCAGUGAGCCCCACGCAUGCCUGGUAAAUAAACUCCCCUUGCUUAUUGCAUGAGA